rnacentral:rRNA from 1 species
AGUCGUGCGAGAAAGUAUCUUCGGAUAUGAGUAGAGCGGCGGACGGGUGAGUAACGCGUAGGAAUCUACCUAGUAGAAGGGGAUAGCCCGGGGAAACCCGGAUUAAUACCGUAUACCUCCUUCGGGAGAAAGAAGGCCUCUCUUUGAAGCUUUCGCUACUAGAUGAGCCUGCGUAAGAUUAGCUUGUUGGUGAGGUAAAGGCUCACCAAGGCUACGAUCUUUAGCUGGUCUGAGAGGAUGAUCAGCCACAUUGGGACUGAGACACGGCCCAGACUCCUACGGGAGGCAGCAGUGGGGAAUAUUGGACAAUGGGCGCAAGCCUGAUCCAGCCAUACCGCGUGUGUGAAGAAGGCCUUCGGGUUGUAAAGCACUUUAAGCAGGGAGAAAAAGUUAUAAGUUAAUACCUUAUAACCCUGAUGUUACCUGCAGAAUAAGCACCGGCUAAUUCCGUGCCAGCAGCCGCGGUAAUACGGAAGGUGCAAGCGUUAAUCGGAAUUACUGGGCGUAAAGCGCGCGUAGGUGGUUUGUUAAGUUGGAUGUGAAAGCCCCUGGGCUCAACCUAGGAACUGCAUCCAAAACUAACUCACUAGAGUACGAUAGAGGG